GAAAAGCAUUAAAUGUCCAUGAAGAAUAAAAGGCCAGGCCAACUCCAUUAUCACUUUCAAAGGCUAAGGAAGGGAGUACAUAAUACAAGAAAUUAAAUAAUAAUAGCAACAAAUGAUCUCUUUAAAUUAUAGAUGCAUGACAUGCCAAGCAUUUUGAUGAAACCAUAUUGUGAAGACACCUACCAACACAUUUAUCCAAAACUGUUGCUAAUGAUCCAAACUUCAGAAGUCCAAACUGAACUAUAACUAGGAAAAAUUCAGCUGUACAACUUAUUCAGCAAUCACUUUUAUCACCAAUAAAACAGUGAAGUUUUGAGAAUCACAAACUCUCACUUCCCAUCCCCUCCAAGAGAAGACAAGGGUGAAAAGUUAUUUAUCAUUGGAAGUGGCACUCAUAACCCCUUCUCAUUCACCAGAGACUGGUAUUUGUCUUCAAACCCAAGUUUACAUGAAGUAACCUCAUGGAUCCCGCAGGCCCUCAGAAGUCAGAACUUACCUUCACACACAGGGUUUUGUCAAACAGCCAGUAACAGAUCUUCCAUACAAUUAUGUAGAUAUGCAAAUUACUCUUUUUUUAAUCUCUAAACAGUUAACACAUCUUCCACACAAUUAUGUAUAUAUGCAAAGUAUCUAAAAUUAUAUAGAUACUUUUUCGCCAUAGUUGGGGUCAGCAAUUAUACAAAUACUUUUUCGCCAUUCAACUCUCUUGGACACGACUCUCUUCUCUUAGACACUAAGUAAGCAUCAAUAUCAAAAAAAAUAAAUAAAAAUAUUUAAUAUUUCCCAGAAGGGAAAUUAUAAUCGAAAAGACUGUUGAAGAGUUUGGGAUGGAUUAGUCCAGGACUAUUUUUAGGCUCUGAUUAAUACUCAAGCCAAAGCCAUAACCACAGAAUCACAAGGACCAAAUACACAGAUAUAUGUAGAUUUGCCCAGUAAAAGCUUCCAGAUGAUAAGCCACCACAGCCUCUAAUCACGUCCAUGAUAUGGGUAAUAUAUAGAAGUAAAAAUAUAUCACUAAUUAAACAAUUAUUCAAGUACAAAGCCAUAAUCAAAUAAAAGUUUCCAAAACUAGUAAAAAAUAAUUAAGAACCUUAAAAAUUAAGAGUCUUAAAGUAACAUAAUUGACAAACAGUUGGCCUUUGAACCUCACCUCCAGGCAAAACGACAUAACACCUACUCCGACCUGUUUGCGAACCUUUCCACCUUCUUGUCGUUUAAAUUGAUCCCCACCAUAGCCUCACCGAGUCCGCAACUCACCUCCGCAAGCAUGUCGGGAUCGCUAUAAUGCGUCACAGCCUGCACAAUCGCUCUGGCUCUUCUUGCCGGGUCGCCGCUCUUGAAAACUCCGGACCCCACAAACACCCCAUCGCAACCCAACUGCAUCAUCAAAGCCGCAUCCGCCGGCGUCGCCACCCCUCCCGCGGCGAACUGCACCACGGGUAGCCUCCCCAGCUGCUUCGUCUGCAUAACCAAAUCGUAUGGCGCAGCAAUCUUCUUGGCGAAAGUGAACACCUCAUCGUCGUCCAUAUUCCUCAAAAGCCUAAUAUCACCCAUCACAGACCUCACGUGCCUAACCGCUUCGAUAACAUUCCCUGUUCCUGCUUCACCUUUGGUCCUAAUCAUGGCGGCUCCUUCGCGUAUCCUUCGAAGCGCCUCGCCUAAGUUCCUACAACCGCAAACGAAGGGGAUACGGAAAUUAUGUUUGUUGAUGUGGUUCUCUUCAUCAGCAGGGGUAAGCACCUCGCUCUCGUCGACAUAAUCGAUGCCUAUAGCUUCAAGGAUUUGGGCCUCCACGAAGUGGCCGAUGCGGGCCUUGGCCAUGACGGGGAUGGUAACGGACUGUUUAAUUUCUUUGAUAAGCUGAGGGUCGCUCAUGCGGGCGACGCCACCUUGAGCGCGGAUAUCAGCGGGGACACGCUCCAAAGCCAUUACAGCACAAGCGCCAGCCUCCUCGGCUAUGCGGGCCUGCUCGGGAUUUACGACGUCCAUGAUAACACCGCCUCUUAGCAUCUGGGCUAGACCCACCUUCACGGAAAAGGGGGACUU
rnacentral:misc_RNA from 1 species